rnacentral:rRNA from 1 species
UGGGGAAUAUUGCGCAAUGGGCGAAAGCCUGACGCAGCGACGCCGCGUGAGGGAUGAAGGUUUUCGGAUCGUAAACCUCUGUCAGAAGGGAAGAAACCGCACUGUGCUAAUCAGCAGUGCCUUGACGGUACCUUCAAAGGAAGCACCGGCUAACUCCGUGCCAGCAGCCGCGGUAAUACGGAGGGUGCAAGCGUUAAUCGGAAUUACUGGGCGUAAAGCGCACGUAGGCUGCUUUGUAAGUCAGGGGUGAAAUCCCACGGCUCAACCGUGGAAAUGGCUUUGAUACUGCUUAGCUUGAAGCCGGGGGAGGGUGGCGGAAUUCCAGGUGUAGGAGUGAAAUCCGUAGAUAUCUGGAGGAACAUCAGUGGCGAAGGCGGCCACCUGGACCGGUAUUGACGCUGAGGUGCGAAAGCGUGGGGAGCAAACAGG